CUGCUGACUUUAUUGAAUUGAGCCUUGGUAUGGAAACCUACUAAGUAGUAGCUUCCAAAUUCAGAGAAACCUUGGAAUGAGAAAUGGGCAAUCUUGAGCCAAAUCUUGUUUAAAGAAAGUAAGGGUUCCUAGAAAGCGAGAAGGAUAGGUGCAAAGACUCAACGGAAGCUGUUCCAACAAAUGGAGUCAACCUCGUCAGUAAAGGAAUCAAUCCAUAUAUAGGACUCCGGAAGGGAUAAUCCUAUGUAUCGGUAUUGAAUUGAAAUAUUCAA
rnacentral:ncRNA from 1 species